rnacentral:rRNA from 1 species
ACUCAAAGGAAUUGACGGGGGUUCGCACAAGCGGUGGAACAUGUGGUUUAAUUCGACACUACGCGAAGAACCUUACCUGGGCUUGACAUGUAUUUGACCGUUAUAGAAAUAUAAUUUUCCGAGCUUCGGUUCGGACAGAUACACAGGUGCUGCAUGGCUGUCGUCAGCUCGUGUCGUGAGAUGUUGGGUUAAGUCCUCUAACGAGCGCAACCCUUGCUAUCAGUUGCUCAUUGCUUUGCAGUAGCACUCUGAUGGGACCGCCUGGGAAACCAGGAGGAAGGUGGGGACGACGUCAAGUCAUCAUGGUCCUUAUGUCCAGGGCUACACACGUGUUACAAUGGUCGAUACAACGGGCUGCAAUUCCGUAAGGAGGAGCUAAUCCUAAAAGUCGAUCUAAGUUCGGAUUGAGGUCUGCAACUCGACCUCAUGAAGUUGAAAUCGCUAGUAAUCGCGUAUCAGCAACGACGCGGUGAAUACGUUCACGAACCUUGUACACACCGCCCGU